rnacentral:lncRNA from 1 species
UAUCUUGUAUCUUGUUUUAGUUUCGGCUUCUUGUGUUGUUAAUGUAACCCGUUUGUUCUUGUUGCUAUUGUAAUAUUGUGGAGCUUCAUCUUGUGUUGCUAAACUUGUUGUUGGAUAGCUGUUUUGGUGUAUUAACACCUUGUAUCCUCUUCUUUCUUGUUCUAGAUAGUGAAUCCGAGAGAGGUCCCUAUUUGGUCCACGAUUUGUUGUGAUUUGUGGACUGUUUUGGGGUGUGAUUUUGUGUUCCCUUGUUUGUUUCGUAUCA